AUUCUGUGAUGAGGACACUUUCGUAAUAAUUCUUUGUACCUUUCCCAUGCCUCAUACAAGGACUCAUCAUCAAUUUGUUGGAAAGUCGCGAUCUCGUUCCUCAACUU
rnacentral:snoRNA from 1 species